UAAUAAGCCUUUAUCAUGAAUAAGGAAAUAUAAAAUAACAACUUUAUUAUUGCCUCUAGGGCACAUUUCCUUCGAAGUAUUAGCAUGUGUUUAAGUUCCUUGGACCAUGAAAGAAUCAUAGUCACUUCCUACCGUAUGGUCUACUUUGGGGUUGCUCAAACGUCAUCCGUAAAACAAUGAUUAUAACAACAACUUACAGGUCUAUCGGAAAGUUUGACAAGGGACUAGAUGGCUCGAGAGUGGGAUUUGCUCCUCCGGCGUUGGAGAGAUAUUCAUAGGGCCUCUCGUUAUGAUGGCAUCUAUCAUCGUCUGGCUAGGCACAAGUGACUACAUCACGGGGAUGCCGGAAGACUUCAACGAGAAAGAAGAACAAAACAGCUAUGGACGGCAAAGCACUGCCGGAUCAUGAAGAUCGUACGCUUGCAACCAAGUACAGAGGUCGUGCUUUCGGUAUUCUGUUCGAUGGAUCAUUCAAGGGCAGUUUGCGGGAUCAUCAUCAAUGGUUCGAGGGACUCCAAGUAUGAUCAACACCGAUUCGUCUACUUCCCCCGCACUCCAGAAUUGGUAACGAUCGUUGAUCCAAACCCUAUAUGCAUCUUCAUAUUGUUCCUGGGUGAUCACAGGGCGAUUUUUUUGUUUUCUACUAUGUUUCCCCAUAGGCGGCAUGUCUUCGGUUCGGUUCGGCGCUUGUAGUCAUCGCUAGGUGGUCUACAUAUCUGGAUGUAAUUAUUAUUAUUAUUGACGUUCAUUUAAUGCCUUGAUUGAAGAUGAACAGAUCUGUAAUUUUCUCACAAAAAUAAAACAGAUUGACCAGUUACAAAGCUAUCACACAUGAAAUCAUACACUAUAGUAGUUUGUUUAAUAUUUGUAAUUUCGUCCAUGAGUUUAGGAGCUCAAAUUUUUUAGGCUCGCAAUUUAGCGAAGCAUGCUUUAAA